CUGCUGCCGGCUGAACGCUGGUCCCGUCUCACACCUGAUCGCUGCUCAGGUUCCGCCCCCCCGCCCCCCGCCAACCAGCGCGCGGUGCAGAGACAAUGUCGAGGUCCCGGCCCAGGCUGGGCACUUGGGGCACGGCCUAGGGAGCGCGCGGGUCAGGGUGGGCAGCUCCUCACUCGGGGGCUGGGUGUGCGAUUCCGGACCGACAGACGGACGUCCAGGACGAGCAGCCGUUGGGGCGCCGGGGGGGGGGGGGGGGUUGGAGGAGGUGGAGCCGCCGGGGAGGGGCGGUGCCGCGGGGAGCGGAGCCCGGCCUCCCGCCCCCACCCCGCUUCGGUGCCUUAGUCUGGGCGGUGACACAAAAAGCUCCCGCUCGGAGCCGAGCGCCUGGCGGCGGUGUCCGACCGGGAGCGCCGAGGGCGGCGGGCAGGUGGGGCGCCUCCCGAAGGGCCGAGCCGGGAGCCGGGGCUGCAGGCACCGACGCCGCGCUCCCCGCGCCCGCCCCGCAGCCCGCCCCGCGCGUCUGGCCGAGCGGGUGGCGGGCGCGCCGGGACCAUCCCGCGAUGCUGCCGCCGCCGCCUCUGUAGGUAGCGCCCUAGCCCGCUGCAGAGAGAGUGGACAACCUUGAAGUUACUUGUAAAGCCUGUGCCUAGCCUUGCGACCUGAAAUGGCUUUUCUGGAGCGCCCUGCAGGCUCAGCCAACAGUGAUGGGAGAUGCACUCUCCCCAUCCCGUGCUCUCUGAGCUGACACUGGGCAGGUGUGGCUGCUCUUGAGACCUUGAAUAAGCUGGGAGGAAAAGAAAAUAUUUUUAAAAUCCUUUUCCCUGGGAGAAACACCCCCAAAAACAGUGUUGUAAGCCUACGGCGACACUUGGAGCUGACCUCUGUAGUCAGCAGCUUGUUCUGAAUGCCUGUUCUGCCUACAAGGAAAAUGGGGAGAGAUCGGAAAAACCCAGCUCCACCCAUUACCGUGAACCUCCUCGGAAGGUUUUGUUGGAAGAGGCUCCGGCAUCCAAAUCGCACCCACUCCACCCGCCCCCUGGGGCUCAUUAAGUUCGAAGAAGGUGAGCCAAACAGAUUUAAUACAUAGUUUGUUUCAGCUAGCAUAUUAGUUUUAGGUUAAUUUUACAUAAUGGUAGGGUUGUAUUUUUAUGUGUGUUUUG
rnacentral:lncRNA from 1 species